AACGAACGCUGGCGGCAUGCUUAACACAUGCAAGUCGAACGAGACCUUCGGGGCUAGUGGCGUACGGGUGCGUAACGCGUGGGAAUCUGCCCUUGGUUUCGGAAUAACAGUUGGAAACGACUGCCAAUACAGGACGAUGACGUAAGUCCAAAGAUUUAUCGCCCAAGGAUGAGCCCGCGUAGGAUUAGCGAGUUGGUGAGGUAAAGGCACACCAAGGCGACGAUCCUUAGCUGGUCUGAGAGGAUGAUCAGCAACACUGGGACUGAGACACGGCCCAGACUCCUACAGGAUGCAGCAGUGGGGAAUAUUGGACAGUGGGCGAAAGCCUAAUCCAGCAAUGCGGCGUGAGUGAUAAAGGCCUUAGGGUUGUAAAGCUCUUUUGCCCGGGAUGAUAAUGACAGUACCUGAAGAAUAAGCUCCGGCUAACUCCGUG
rnacentral:rRNA from 1 species